rnacentral:rRNA from 1 species
CGCGGGAUGUUGGGUUAGUCCCGCAACGAGCGCAACCCCUGUCGUUAGUUGAAUCGAUCUAACGAAACUGCCAUUUCAAAAUGGAGGAAGGCGGGGAUGACGUCAAGUCAGCACGGCCCUUACGCCUUGGGCGACACACACGCUACAAUGGUCAGGACAAAGAGUUGCCAACCCGCGAGGGGGAGCUAAUCUCGUCAAACCUGGCCUCAGUUCAGAUCGGAGGCUGAAACUCGCCUCCGUGAAGGUGGAGUUGCUAGUAACCGUAGGUCAGCACACUACGGUGAAUACGUUCCCGGGUCUUGUACACACCGCCCGU